rnacentral:rRNA from 1 species
AGAGUUUGAUCCUGGCUCAGAACGAACGCUGGCGGCGCGUUUAAAGCAUGCAAGUCGAACGGGAUUAUAGAAGCUUGCUUUUAUAAUUUAGUGGCGAACGGGUGAGUAGCGCGUAGAUAAUCUACCCUUGAGCGGGGGAUAGCCCAUCGAAAGGUGGUUUAAUGCCGCAUAAAUUAUUGUUUCAUAAGGAAUGAUAUGAAAGGCUAUGCUUUCGGGUAUAGUUGCUUGGGGAUGAGUCUGCGUACCAUUAGCUAGCUGGAGAGGUAAGAGCUCCCCAGGGCAAAGAUGGUUAGCCGGUCUGAGAGGAUGAUCGGCCACAUUGGGACUGAGAUACGGCCCAGACUCCUACGGGAGGCAGCAGCUAAGAAUCUUCCGCAAUGGACGAAAGUCUGACGGAGCGACGCCGCGUGGACGAAGAAGGCAGUAAAGGUUGUAAAGUUCUUUUAUUGCACAAAAUGCUAUGCUAUAGGCAUGGUUGUUAUGUGCUAUGAAUAGGCCCCGGCUAAUUACGUGCCAGCAGCCGCGGUAAGACGUAAGGGGCAAGCGUUGUUCGGAAUUAUUGGGCAUAAAGGGCGAGUAGGCGGUCUUGUAAGUUAUAGGUGAAAUUUCACUGCUCAACAGUGAGCGUGCCUGUAAAACUGCAGGACUAGAGUUUAGGAGAGGAUGUCGGAAUUCCUGGUGUAGGGGUGGAAUCUAUAGAUAUCAGGAGGAACACCUGUGGCGAAGGCGGGCAUCUGGCCAUAGACUGACGCUGAGGCGCGAAAGCGUGGGUAGCAAACAGGAUUAGAUACCCUGGUAGUCCACGCAGUAAACGUUGUAUACUAGGUGUAUGAGGUAUCGAUCCCUUGUGUGCCGAAGCAAAUGUGAUAAGUAUACCGCCUGGGGAGUAUGCCGGCAACGGUGAAACUCAAAGGAAUUGACGGGGGCCCGCACAAGCGGUGGAGCAUGUGGUUUAAUUCGAUGAUACGCGAAGAACCUUACCUGGGUUUGACAUAUAGACUGAUGGAUAAGAGAUUAUUCAGCCCUUUCGGGGGAGUUUAUACAGGUGCUGCAUGGCUGUCGUCAGCUCGUGUCGUGAGAUGUUGGGUUAAGUCCCGCAACGAGCGCAACCCUCAUGAUUAGUUGCCAUCAGGUAGUGCUGGGCACUCUAAUCAAACCGCCGGACGUAAGCCGGAGGAAGGUGGGGAUGACGUCAAGUCCUCAUGGCCUUUAUACCCAGGGCUACACACGUGCUACAAUGGUCUGUACAAAGAGGAGCGAAGCUGCGAAGUGGAGCCAAUCUCAAAAAGCAGGCCGUAGUUCGGAUUGGAGUCUGAAACUCGACUCCAUGAAGUUGGAAUCGCUAGUAAUCGCAGAUCAGCACGCUGCGGUGAAUACGUUCCCGGGCCUUGUACACACCGCCCGUCACACCACCCGAGUUGGAUGUACCCGAAGUCGCUGGACCAACCGCAAGGAAGUAGGUGCCGAAGGUAUGUUUAGUAAGGGGGGCGAAGUU